GACGAACGCUGGCGGCGUGCUUAACACAUGCAAGUCGAACGGAAAGGCCUCUUUCGGGGGGUACUCGAGUGGCGAACGGGUGAGUAACACGUGAGUAACCUGCCCUUGACUUUGGGAUAACUUCAGGAAACUGGGGCUAAUACCGGAUAGGAGCUCCUGCUGCAUGGUGGGGGUUGGAAAGUUUCGGCGGUUGGGGAUGGACUCGCGGCUUAUCAGCUUGUUGGUGGGGUAGUGGCUUACCAAGGCUUUGACGGGUAGCCGGCCUGAGAGGGUGACAGGCGACAUUGGGACUGAGAUGCGGCCCAGACUCCUACGGGAGGCAGCAGUGGGGAAUAUUGUACAAUGGGUGGAAGCCUGAUGCAGCAACGCCGUGUGCGGGAUGACGGCCUUCGGGUUGUAAACCGCUUUCGCUCAUGACGAAGCUUUGUGUGACGUUAGUGGGUAAAGAAGCACCGGCUAACUACGUG
rnacentral:rRNA from 1 species